CUAUGCAGGAAGAUGUUCUUUGUUACAAAGAAUUAAAAGACAAUGAAAGAAGGAGAGGGGAAAAAAUAAAAGGAAAAGGGCUAGAUGUUUGUUUCUUAGACUCCAUGAUUAGAACAUAGAAAGAGGGUGGCAACUCCCACCACAGUUUUAUCCCCUUUCUCUGUCCAGCUUCUGAAAGUUCUUUGUUUCACCAUGGCGACAAGAGUAUACAAAACAUGUGGGUCUGGGUAUCUCAGAGCCAGGAGUAAAUUCUGAACUGGACAGAAGAAGGAAGACAAAGGAGUCUUUUCAACUUUUUGUUAACUAGUGGGAAAAUGAUAGUUGAUUUGCUGUGAACAUUUAAAUGAACAGAACACCUCUAACAGUUCCCGUGGUUUGUUAAACUCAUUCACCCUGCCCCAUACCAAAUGGCCAACUCUGGACCCAUCGACAAGUGACUCUUGGAGCUAAUUCCAACUGCAUUUUGCUCUCUGUUGUACAGUAUUUCAGUGACAGAACCCAACACGUGUGUGUUUGGCGAGGCUGGCGGAGGUUAAGAAGGAGCUGAGUAUUAAGUUAAGGUGGCUGAACAACAAUGGAAAGAUGAUCCUUGGCCUUUUCUGAUCCCGGGAGGAGCUGGGAAUUGAGAACUCUGUGUGGUCUUAGAAAUCAUCUCCAGCUUCCCUCACAGGCUGCUGCUUCUUAGGAGAAUCCCAGGGAAAGGCAGCAGUGAAAUAGUGGGACCUCAAUCCACAGAAGCUGACGUCAGACCCAGGUCAAGAUACAAGAGAAACCCACUGAAAGCCAGUCCCCCAAAUUUUCCAGAGAAGCGGAUAGUUCACAGCUGAUCCAAGACCCCACCAAACGGCCAACUUUGAGGAAGACCAAGUGCUUUUGAAGAUUUCAUCUUGGUUCUGAUUUGGAGAAACACUGGAGGAUGGAGUCUCCACUGAAAAAGCAACAGCGGGUCUCAGUUCCAGCAGCACUGAGAUCCAGUCAAGAGGACGGGGGCCUGAGACUCAAACCAAUACACUUUUGAACUGGGACAAGUUAGAGAGCACCCGCCAAACCCUCCUCUUGACAUUUAAAAUCCUGUAUCAUUGUAUAUAAUUUUAAAAACCAAACAAACACCCGAGCAUUACCUGUGUUUAUUUACAAAGGAACAACUCCCAGUUCUGAACUGUUUGCUUAUUUUGCCUUUUUUAUGUCCCCUGUUUUUUCACCCAAGAAAUAUCAAAUAGGAAACCACAAUAACUAUGUGAUUUUAUCUUGAAAACAGCUUUACAAAGGCCCUAACUUGGAAAAUUAGGGUCCUCGAAUGUCUUUUUUUCAGGAUCCCAUGACUGACCUCUGACUGCAAAGAUCUUAUUGUCUGACAUAGGGAUACCUGAAUGAAUUAAAGAAAGUCUCAGGAAACUUUUGUCAGGGAUGUAGUUGUAACCAAGCUCAUGGAAUAAAGUCACUCUUGCCUAGUCCCUGGUCUACAAUUUUCCCUUAUCACCACUAGCAGCUUACAGCACAGCUACAGGGGCACAAAUUAUACAAGCAAACACAAAAACAGACAUACAGUGAAAGAUCUCUUGGUAACUUAAUUUCCUGGCUUUGUACUGGUCUGACACAGUUUCUCCUGGCUCUUGAUCUCCAUCCCAUCAAUAUUUUCAGUUCUGCUGUCACAUUAUGAGAUGGCUUAGAACCAUAGAGUUCUGACUCCACUUCUAGAAGGCAGCUCUUCACAAUCUCAGCAUGGCAGAGAAGCUGGUCCCUUGUCCAUAUACUUGGCUGCAGCUCUUGCUUCUUGUUCCAUGGAGAAUCGCUUUACCUAUCUCAGUGUGGCAACCCCUAGUCAUUGAUAUAAUCCUGUAUGAUCAGUCCUGUAAAUGAUCUGAGUAAUGCUGUUCCUAGGGAUGUUUAGCUGAAAACACAUACAUUUUCAGGCAUUAGCUUAUUUCCGGGAAAUGCCCGAGUCAUAUUUGGUCUGAACGUUCAGACUGAGCUGGGUUAUCAGCUGGAGUUUGAAAUCUGCUCAAGCAUGCAUGGUAUUUCAGGUUUUUGUACAAUACGUGAAAUGUUCUGCAUGCUGUAUUAUAACGGGGCCCAAAUUGCUGUCUGUGAAAUGUGAUUUCUGUCCAGUCUUGAAGUUGGGGUGGGUGGUGAUAAUUAUACAUAGAAAAAUUGACUGCCGGUCUACAGAACAUAAAGCACCGAGUCAGUAUGGUGAUGUUUGAAAUGUCGAUUCCUAAGACAAAGCUGAAAGGCGAUAUCUGUAAGCAAUAAUGGCUGCUCAGGACUUCGCCAAGAUCCGGGCUCAUUUAAAAGGGUCCUUUCAGAAAGAGUCAAGAAUAAGGAGUGAUAGGAUUUAUGGAAAUUGUGGUUGUGCUGACUUGCAUUAUGUAAAUGUGCCUGCUUUACAAUAAAACACAUUUGUUUUCUUUGGCAAUGAGAUUUCUGUCACCUUCCUGCAAACUGUGUUCUCAGUUGCUUUGUGGGGUAGCUGCCGGUGAGCUCAGCAGUGGCUGACCUGCCAAGGGCAUGGCUAAGGGAUGUGGGCCUGCUCCUUCUGAAAACUCUGGGGCACUGGGUUGUCCAAUUAAGAACCAUGCCAUCGGCUUGAAUCAUAGAUUAUUCGAGCUGAGAGGAAUUGUUGAUAACAUUUAGUCCAACCCACUCAUUUUAAAGCAGAAGAAGCCAGAGACUGCAUAAAUGAAAUAGAUCGCAAUUGUCUAGCCACUAGUUCAAUCAUGGCACUGGGCAGUAGAAUUUUCAGUCCGGUACCUUUCCUGAUUCAACUUAAAGAGUUAUCUGCAUUUUUUCAUUAUCUACUUCUAUUUUUCCUUCUACUGCUGUGGGUAAUUGUGAGUUGACCCAUGUGAGUCACAGAAAAUCAAUAAUCCUUUGGCUCUCUAUAUGAAAGUCUACUGAAAAGGGUGUAUGACCGUGGGUUAGUCAUUAAUCCCUUCUGUCUGUUAAUUUUUGUGUUCCGUAAACCUAAUACUUGUUAGGUUGGUGUAAUCUUUUGUAAUUGUCAAAAUGAGAUGACACACAUAUGAAACACACUGCCAUUGGAGCUAAUCAUGUACGCAAAGUUAGGUCUGUUUUGGUCCAUGCAAGAGUUACUAACUUUGAGUCCAUAAGGUUGUUUUCCA